rnacentral:rRNA from 1 species
GACGAACGCUGGCGGCGUGCUUAACACAUGCAAGUCGAACGGAAAGGCCCUGCUUUUGUGGGGUGCUCGAGUGGCGAACGGGUGAGUAACACGUGAGUAACCUGCCCUUGACUUUGGGAUAACUUCAGGAAACUGGGGCUAAUACCGGAUAGAGCUCCUGCUGCAUGGUGGGGGUUGGAAAGUUUCGGCGGUUGGGGAUGGACUCGCGGCUUAUCAGCUUGUUGGUGGGGUAGUGGCUUACCAAGGCUUUGACGGGUAGCCGGCCUGAGAGGGUGACCGGCCACAUUGGGACUGAGAUACGGCCCAGACUCCUACGGGAGGCAGCAGUGGGGAAUAUUGCACAAUGGGCGGAAGCCUGAUGCAGCAACGCCGCGUGCGGGAUGACGGCCUUCGGGUUGUAAACCGCUUUCGCCUGUGACGAAGCGUGAGUGACGGUAAUGGGUAAAGAAGCACCGGCUGACUACGUG